AUUGAACGCUGGCGGCAUGCCUUACACAUGCAAGUCGAACGGCAGCAUGGAGAGCUUGCUCUCUGAUGGCGAGUGGCGAACGGGUGAGUAAUGCAUCGGAACGUACCGUGUAAUGGGGGAUAACGUAGCGAAAGUUACGCUAAUACCGCAUACGACCUGAGGGCGAAAGCAGGGGAUCGCAAGACCUUGCGUUAUACGAGCGGCCGAUGUCAGAUUAGCUAGUUGGUGAGGUAAAGGCUCACCAAGGCGACGAUCUGUAGCGGGUCUGAGAGGAUGAUCCGCCACACUGGGACUGAGACACGGCCCAGACUCCUACGGGAGGCAGCAGUGGGGAAUUUUGGACAAUGGGGGCAACCCUGAUUCAGCCAUGCCGCGUGAGUGAAGAAGGCCUUCGGGUUGUAAAGCUCUUUCGGCCGGGAAGAAAUCGCACAGGCUAAUACUCUGUGUGGAUGACGGUACCGGCAUAAGAAGCACCGGCUAACUACGUGCCAGCCGCCGCGGUAA
rnacentral:rRNA from 1 species